CCCACUCUUCAUACCACCUCCCUCCUUCAAUCUUAGUGCAUCUCUCUCUGGGGCUACUCUGUACCAAAGCCAGCUUCGCUCUCCCCGUGUUUUAGGAGACCAUCUAAUUGACAGGACUCAUAAUCCCCCACCUUAUACACCACCCCCCAUGCUUAGCCCCAUACGGCAAGGAUCUGGACUCUUCAGCAGCGUCAUCAUAUCUUCUCAUGGUACAUCUCAUCCCCAGCUGCCCCUUACUCCCCUGACACCCACCCCCCGGAUUCUCCUCUGUCAAUCUAAUAGUAUUGAUGGAAAUAGUGUUCUUAUGACCCCAAGACCUGGAGAACAGACUAUUCAUAUUGAACCGUGUAUCAACAUUGGCUCAAGAUUUCAGGCUGAUAUCCCUGAACUUAAAGAUAUAGCAAUGGUGGAGACGGAGGAUCACAAGGCAACGUUAGUUUGGAAACCAUGGCCAGAACUGGAGGACAAAACUUUUCAACAAAGAGGUACUAUAUAUUUAUACCAGUAAAAACUCUUUUAUACCGGUAAAAGAGUGAAUUUUUGCUUUGCUAUGUUUUAUGUAUAUCGCCACCCACUCACCAAGAUCACUUUGGGUAGGUAAUAGGAAUUAAUCCAAACUCAUAGUUUGAAAUAAAAAAGUGAGUGUUUUCAGAAUUGCUGUCUGUUAGCUUUAAAAAUUUAGAUUUUCUUGGUACUUCACUGCAAAAAUAGAGUUGAAUCAAGUCUAUGUUCAGUAGAUUCUACUAUUAAAGAAUUGGGAGUAGAUAACAGUUUACUCUGAUCUCCUAAUUUCUGGAGGUUAAUGUCAAAGACACCAGAGGAGGAAAGAGAGCCAAGGGAAAAUAGUUUUAUUUAUCCAUUUUCUUUAGAAGCAAAUCUCCAUCAGAUCCUUUUUGAACAGGGCCAGCUAACAAUUUAACAACCGGUUCUCCCGAACUGACCCGAAUCGGCUGAAUCCCACCACUGCCUACAUUGUUUAUGUAAAUUCUUCAUUGGGCUAUCCUUAUACUUCCUAAGUUUGUUUUCUUCAAAAGACUCUAUUUACUAAGAAUAGUGAAUACCUCUAUAUCCUUUCCAAUAUUUUGUGAUGGAAGGUAACACUCAUUUUCACAACAUGCUGUUGUAUACAUGUUCAUCAGAGAAAUACCAUAGGAAUAAACAAGAAAAGAGUUACAAAAAGAAAAGAAUCUCUUCCAGAUGUUUUAAAGUGGUGUAAUCACAAAAAUGCUAUUUGGCCCUUUAGCCUGUUUUAAGAACUGUGUGAGAAAACAAUAGACUUUCAUUUGUUUUACCUUCUUUUUCAUUGUAAUAUGAAUGUAUUGGUUUCCUGAUACUUCCUGUAUGUGUUUUUAAAAACUGAUACAGCAUAGGACAAUGCAAUUCAUAAUUAUACAGCAGCACAUAAAAUGUGUCUGGUCUUUUUAUUUGCGAGGUCUGCAUCCUUGCUU